CUGACUUGAGUUUCUCCUUAGGGUACUACGGGCAAAGCAGGGGACCCAGGGAGAGACGUGAGUGAGGGG
rnacentral:pre_miRNA from 1 species